rnacentral:tRNA from 1 species
GGGGAUGUAGCCAAGUGGUAAGGCCGAGGCCUGCAAAGCCUUUAUCAAGGGUUCGAUUCCCUUCAUCCCCU